CACGUAGGGCGCAAGCGUUGUCCGGAAUUAUUGGGCGUAAAGAGCUCGUAGGCGGUCUGUUGCGUCCGCUGUGAAAACUCGGGGCUUAACCCCGAGCCUGCAGUGGAUACGGGCAGACUAGAGGUAGGUAGGGGAGAUCGGAAUUCCCGGUGUAGCGGUGAAAUGCGCAGAUAUCGGGAAGAACACCCGUGGCGAAGGCGGCUCUCUGGGACGGUACUGACGCUGAGACGCGAAAGCGUGGGGAGCAACAGG
rnacentral:rRNA from 1 species